rnacentral:misc_RNA from 1 species
GAUGAAGAACGCAGCGAAAUGCGAUAAGUAUUGUGAAUUGCAGAAUCCAGUGAAUCAUCGAAUCUUUGAACGCACAUUGCGCCCGCCAGUAUUCUGGCGGGCAUGCCUGUCUGAGCGUCAUUUCAACCCUCAUGCCCCUAGGGCGUGGUGUUGGGGAUCGGCCAAAGCCCGCGAGGGACGGCCGGCCCCUAAAUCUAGUGGCGGACCCGUCGUGGCCUCCUCUGCGAAGUAGUGAUAUUCCGCAUCGGAGAGCGAUGAGCCCCUGCCGUUAAACCCCCAACUUUCCAAGGUUGACCUCAGAUCAGGUAGGAAUACCCGCUGAACUUAAGCAUAUCAAUAAGCGGAGGA